rnacentral:rRNA from 1 species
GUGUCAGCAGCCGCGGUAAGACGGAGGGUGCAAGCGUUGUUCGGAAUUACUGGGCGUAAAGGGCGCGUAGGCGGUCUGCUAAGUUCGGUGUGAAAUCCCCUGGCUCAACUGGGGAACUGCGCCGGAAACUGGCAGACUAGAGUACCGGAGAGGAGGGUGGAAUUCCUGGUGUAGCGGUGAAAUGCGUAGAUAUCAGGAGGAACACCGGUGGCGAAGGCGGCCCUCUGGACGGAUACUGACGCUGAGGCGCGAAAGCGUGGGGAUCAAACAGGAUUAGAUACCCUCGUAGUCC